rnacentral:rRNA from 1 species
UACGGGGGGGGCAAGCGUUGUUCGGAAUUACUGGGCGUAAAGGGCUCGUAGGCGGCCAACUAAGUCGGAUGUGAAAUCCCCAGGCUUAACCUGGGAACUGCAUCCGAUACUGGAUGGCUUGAAUUCGGGAGAGGGAUGCAGAAUUCCAGGUGUAGCGGUGAAAUGCGUAGAUAUCGGGAGGAACACCAGUGGCGAAGGCGGCUUCCUGGCCUGUUCUUGACGCUGAGGCGCGAAAGCUAGGGGAGCAAACGGG